rnacentral:ribozyme from 2 species
GCUGCUCAAACCUUCACACACCUCUUCGUGGUGAGCAGCAGGCAACGGUCGAUUUUGGGCGGCUGAGAUGUGAAG